rnacentral:lncRNA from 1 species
CGAAAUAAAGUAAAAAUACAUCAGAAAAUAUAAAUAAAAGUACAACAAAAAGAGAGCCUGAUUCAGACUGAAAUAUGAGGUCAACCAAGUCCAUGAGAUCAUGAUCCAAAGCCUUUCUCCCAUUUAAGCGUGUCAAAGUACCCUAAGAGCCUCAAAAGGACUCUGGGCAAUGCUCACACCCAAAUGUAUUAUCAGAUUAGGACAAGUGUAAUGUGGACGGGCCAUCCCUCAAGUGUCUAAGUUCAGAGGGAACUCAAAGGGUCCCAAGGCAAAGCUCACAAGAAGGGGGCGAAAUUUAAGGACUAAGAAAAUGUGCAAGUGCACAAUAGGAUUCUAAAAGGGAAAAGGAGAGGGAAACAACUACUAAUAAACACACAUAAGGGGGUUCAGGGGAGUAGGGAGAUUGUGAAGAGCUUAUUGCUUAGUCCAGGAUAUGUUUCAACAUGCCCAACAAUGGAGGAUGCUAGCAUACUCUCAAGCCUGCAAGAAUACAUUAUUUAGAGGCUAGGAUCCCAAGGGAACGAGUUUGAUUCAUGGACAAUAACUUGCAGUAUUGCCAUGCCUCAAACUAUAGCUUAAACACAUAGGGGCAGAGGUUUUGGAUCCAUAAUAGAACAAGCAUAAAUAGAUCAGUAAUGUUGAACCACAUAGAAGCAGUAACCAGACAGGGAUACAAAAGUAGUAAAUAAAAACAUUAUUAUGCUGAUAAAAAGCUUAAAUCAGGACAACUAGUUUCAAAGAAGCAAAUAGAGAGAAAGCAAGAAGCAUGUCUUAUAAACAGGUCACAAUACAAGCAACAAGAGAGAAUACUUUUGAGUGUAAGUGUAAGUUCAGAAAGACUACAAAUGAUGGAUGUCUUUGUUAAUGAAAGAGUCGUGUAUUUAUAGUGUGAAAAACAUGUAGAAAUAAGGUAAGAAAACAAUUAAGGAACUGGGUAUAAAUUAAAAUCAAUCAGUACAAGACUUUCUUUAAUUAAGGAAUUUAGACUUAAAUGAUAAUAAGCAAGAAAACCAUUUAAGGAAAGAGAUGAAACAAGCAUCUCGUGCAAAGUAGGCAAUUAAGUGUAAAUACAUAGGAGUUUAUUUAUGGGAAGAGUUUGAAAUACACGGUCAAAAAAAAAUAAGGUAAGAAUUAAUUAGUACAGAGUAAAUUAGGGGUCAGAGAUUUUGUAAUCACUGGUCCAUAAAUGAACAAGCCAGAAAAGCAAAAGAAAGUUUUUAACUCAAAUCGAGUAAUAGGGAAAUCGGCAAACAAGGAACGAAAUCAAUCAAACUUAUACAAAGGAAGUCUGAAAUCAAUAAAAAUUGAAAUCCAUUUUUAGAGGGAAAUUCAACACAUAUAAAGAGCACAAAAAUAUUCUAGGCUGAAUUUAGGGCAAAGAAAAACAUCAUGCCAUUGUAAAAUUAGUAGGUAAUAGACUGUAGGAUCAUGGUAGUCAUAUAGGUAAGCAAUGUAGAAAAGGUUGUAUCAAAUAGCAUACAAAGGGUCCCGUAUAAGGACCUUAGAAGAGUUCAGUAGAGAAUCAAAAUUGCUUAAAAAAACAAAUGUUGAUGCAAAGAUUUCAAGACUCAGUUGGGCCACAGAUGAAACAAAUUCAGAAAUCAAACAAGUACAAGCAAAUCACAUAGCCAACGGUCUCAAAACUCGGAUGAACCCCCAAAUUCUAGGGUUUUUACCAUCAAUCGAGUGCAGAGAUGAGAGGACAAGUAAUCAAGGAAGAAGAUACUAAUCGAAACAGGUUCAGAGGUCUCAGAAAGAAACUGAGACCUUUAACAUGCUCUUCAGUAGCAGGAACUCAUUAGAAGCAUAGUAAAAGAACAACAUGCGAAACACAAUAGAAGAAACUAAUAAGAAACCUAGCAGAAGAAAUUAAUAAGAACAAAGUAGGAGAAACAUAUAGAGAAGAAUAAUAGAAGAAACUUAAUAAGAAACACAGUAGGAGAAACAUAUAAAGAAGCAUAGUAUAAGAAACUUAAUAAGAACACAGUAGAGGAAACUGAUAAGACCAUGGUAACAGAAACUUAACAAGAGCACAGUAGAAGAAAAUUGAUAAGAAACAUAGUAGAAGAAACACAUUAGAGAAAAAUCAGAGAACAUCUAAGUAACUCAAAACCCUAGAUCGGAAAACUGAAGGUUUUGAAAGCAUAGUUUUGAAAGAAAUUUCAAGAAAUCGUUCAAAAGUUCAGGGAAAACAAAGAUCUAGAACAGAUCUAAAGAAAUCAAAAUAACGUCAAAAGAUAGGGUUUCAGAGGAACCCAAACGGUGAGAAAGGCUUGGAUAGUCAUUGAUCUAAGUAGGAGGAGUCGAGGUCAGGCUCGAACAGACAUGGAACUUGAAUCAAACAAAUCUGGACCCAGCUUCUUUGUAUUUACUUACAUUUUGACAUAAGUAACCAAGCGUGGAGGAGCCAUAGAAGGCUGAUAGGUGGUGAAACCAUUAUGGAUUCAGGCAAGAAAAUGAUCGAAGAAGGUGAGUGAAGCUCAUCGGAACGGAGGGGAGGGGGAAGGUUCUAGAUAGAACCAGAGAUAGAGAUAGAGAGAUGAGAGUCGG